UUCUCUGGUGUUUUCAGGUUUUGGGCUGGUUUCUUAUGGCACUCUAUUUCAAUGUCAAACUAACAAUAAAAGGUGUGAAAUCCACUCUUCUAUGUAUUUCUGAACAUAGCUUUUGAAAAGAGUAGUCGUUACUCUUCUAUAUAAUGUCAGCAUAAACCUCUUAUGAAGUGCACUAAUACUUGUGGCUUGUAUCAGAAAUAGUGUAGCCAAUAUGAGGGAGGUGAUUAUCCCCCUGUACUCAACACUUGUGAGGCCAUGCCUCAACUACUGUGUUCAGUUUUGUGCCCUUCACUUCAAGAAAGACAUCAGGGCCCUGAAGCAUGUCCAGAGAAGGGUAAUGAAGCUGUGAGGAGUCUGGAGCACAAGUCUCCGUGAAAGGAGGUUGUAGCAAGGUGGGGUUUGGUCCUAUGUAACUAGUGGUAGGACCAGAGGGAAUGGCCUCAAAUUGCACCAGGAGAAGUUCGGGUUGGGUAUUAGGAAAAAACUUAUCUGAAAGAGUGGUCAGACACCGGAAUGGGCUGCCCAGGAAGGUGAUGGAGUCACUGUCCCUGGAGGUAUUCAGGAAUCACUGAGUUGUCAAUUAAGGGACAUGGUUUAGUGGGAACAUACUUGUGAUAGGUGGACAGUUGGAUUGGAUGGUCUUACAGGACCUUUGCAACACUGAUGACUCUAUCUAUCUCUUUGGAUUUGCAGCAUCAAAUAAUGUGCUCUCAAAAUAUAAUAAGUGUCACAUGGUGCAGUUGUGAGUUGUUGAUAAAUCUUGGGUGUUGCUGUUUGGAUGUAUUGCUUGAUUACUUGAUUGCUUGUUUUAUAUAUGUGGAAGUAUUCUUAUAAAUGUCUGAGUUAAUUAAAUGCUCAGGAAUUACAGUGGGUACAAUCACCCAACAGCCGUAGGAUUGUCCGCUUUACCAGCAGGUUUCACUGCAGUGUGCAUAACCCAAGCAGCAUGAAGAAUCCAUCAAAACAGUGCAAGAGAACUACGUUAAGAUACAGUGCUUAAAAAGUGCAGCUGUAACUUUUAAAGUGUUAAUUUGAAAGCAUCCUGUUAGAAUAUGUUAGCAUCUUCAAAAAAGAAAGGAUUGUGAUGUAUAUUUUUUAAUAUAAUAUGCAAAACUUUUAAAUUAAAGUUUAGGGUCCCUCCAAGUAAUGGAAGUCUCUAUAGGCCAGCUAAUGUAAAAAUAUUAAUAUUUCACAAAGUUAUGCACAAGUUUUGUAUAAGGUGUUCUUAUUAAUUUCUUAAGGUGGACACAUUUCUUGAGCAGAAAGCAGAGACCUAUAAAAUGCAGGGAAUAAAACUCUCAGAGGUAUAUAUUGGUAAGAGGCAAAUCCACAUGAAGUGAAAACGAAGAGGUUUUAAGCAUUUUUUGAGAUUGCUGCGUCCGAGUGAACAUCACUAAGUUACCACUUAGGUCACACAGUCACAGAACCAUAAAGUGAAGAGAUGUCUGGAGACCCUUCAGUCUGACCCCUUGCCGCAGCAGGUUCUAUAGAACAUGUUGCACCUGAAAGUGUCCAGGCAGGUUGUGAGCAUCUCCAGAGGAGUCUCCACAACUCCUCUGGGCAGCCUGUACCAGUGCUCUGUUGCCCUCACAAUAAAGAAGAUUUUUCUCAAGUCUUGUUGCAAAAGUUUCAUCUAACCAAUUAUCUUAUCCUCUUGUUUUUGAGGAAUUAAAUAAAGUUAUCUCCAGUAAAAUUAUGCUAAAUUAUCACUUUGUUCCAUAAUGGUCUUCGGAUGGUAGGUUUACACUUUCAUGAUCCUUGGCUAUGGGAAACUACAAAGCUGGAAAAUUAAAUACACUUCCUAAAGGAUAUGCCUGUUAAAAUCUUACUGUUUGUAAUCUGAAUUUUUUUUUAUACAACUAGUUCUAACAUUUAGUAUUUCAAAUACCAUUGCAGAAAUGAUCUCAUCUGCCUUUAAAGCUGACAUUUAGCCCAAACCCCUCGUGUUCAUGGCUGGCAGAAAACUCAGAAUAACUUUCAAAUUGUCUGAUUCAGAUAAUUUAAAGAAGUGGCCUAGAGACAGAUCACAGAUCACAAAAUUGAGAUCUUAAGCUGCAUAAGCAUUUGCCAGACCAUAUUUACAGAGGUGAGAGCAGUCAAUGGACAACUGUGAUGUGCCAAAGCAUCUAAAUGCCUUUUUCCUCACUGCCAGCAGGAUAAUGAUUCUGUUACUUUCAUCCAAAACUCUUGCUCAGAGAAUCUACUACUUACAGUAAUGUCUUCUGAAGAUAAACAGCAAAAGUUAACCAAAAACACUGCUGAAAAACAGAGAACAAAGUCAGUUAUAAUGUAGGACUAAAUAGAUACGUGUACAAAGUUGUCAGUCUUCCACACAUCCUAAAUGAGCUGUGAAGACGUGAUCCUGAGGAGUUAAUGCUGUACAGGCUUUGAACUAGGUGCUUGGGAUCUCACUUUUGUGGUGUGUGAAAUAAAAUUCCACAACUGCUUCUUCAGUGCCAGAAAUGGGAGCUUGAAGGAUGUCUGAAAUCCAGACCUAUUUGGAAGUAAAAUUUACACUCUGCUUUAAUAAGAGUUUUCUUUAAGGUUAUGAUUUGAUUUCUUUUCAAUGGCUAUCUAUCAAUAAAGAAUCCAGC